UUGGGCUGGCCGAACCUCCCUAUAAUCAUACCUUUCAUGCACCUUCAAGAUCAACACCACUCUUAGGAGGAUCUUGCUCACACACCUUCAUAGCUUUCGCACCACUUUUCUUACAUGAUUCAAGAAGACCUUCAUGAAAUGCCAUCAUUUGGUAUCAUGAGCUUGGGUUCUUCAAGAUGAGUUGCUUUUGGUCUUUUCAUUUCUAGUUCUUCUUUUAUUUCAUGUUGUUUAUCUUUUCCAUAAUUGUCUUGCUGUUUUUUGCAUUUUAAUUUGCUUUGGUGUGCUUUGUGGAAGAUCCAACCGAAGCACUUUUGUUCAAUUGAUCUUGAACAAGUUCUUGUGCAAAUUGUGAUAGGAUUUCAUACACCUUUGAGUUGCUAUUUUCUUUUAGGCUUUUGAGUCUUUAUUGCUUUCUUAUUUGGUUCAUAUUAUGCUUUUGAGUAUUUAAUUUCUGAAUCUUAUAUGUUUUGUCAAGUCAUGUUCAUCCACAAUGUCAAC
rnacentral:lncRNA from 1 species